UACGGAGGGGGCUAGCGUUGUUCGGAAUGACUGGGCGUAAAGCGCGCGUAGGCGGAUCAGCAAGUCAGGGGUGAAAUCCCGGGGCUCAACCUCGGAACUGCCUUUGAUACUGAUGGUCUCGAGUCCGAUAGAGGUGAGUGGAAUUCCUAGUGUAGAGGUGAAAUUCGUAGAUAUUAGGAAGAACACCAGUGGCGAAGGCGGCUCACUGGAUCGGUACUGACGCUGAGGUGCGAAAGCGUGGGGAGCAAACAGG
rnacentral:rRNA from 1 species